AAACCUGCGAAACUCGAAUGAACGAACGGAGAGAUUCAUCGUCACUCCGCGGCGUACUAGCCCGCGCCUCGAUGCGCAGCGCCUCGGCGCCGCGCACGGGUCGGGCGUGUCGACGUCCGCGGACGGCGUGCACUUCUCUCUCAGUAAACGAAUACGCCGCGACCCGUUCGAAGCGGGCGGUCUAAGCGCGGUACGCGGGAGCCGAGCGGCGACGUCUCAACAACGCCCGCCGCUCGACCGCGACCCGCGCCGACCGCCGUCGGACGGUAGUGGACCAACUCGAAUCGCGCACGCGCCUCGCGCGCGUCAGGCCCGACGCAAGCGUUCUCGCGUCGUCGCCCGUUUCCUGCCUAUGCGCGGACGCGGGCGCGGCGCCGCUGCCGUCGCAGCCGGUACAGUCUCUGACCGUGCGCGUUUCAGUCGGCGGCGUUUCAGUUUCGGGCACUCGCAGGAC
rnacentral:rRNA from 1 species